rnacentral:rRNA from 1 species
CUACGGGGCGCAGCAGUGGGGAAUAUUGGGCAAUGGGCGAAAGCCUGACCCAGCAACGCCGCGUGAUUGAAGAAGGUCUUCGGAUUGUAAAAAUCUGUCCUUGGGGACGAAAAAAAUGACGGUACCCAAGGAGGAAGCCCCGGCUAACUACGUGCCAGCAGCCGCGGUAAUACGUAGGGGGCGAGCGUUGUCCGGAAUUACUGGGCGUAAAGGGUGCGCAGGCGGCGCUUUAAGUCAGAUGUGAAAUACCCAGGCUUAACCUGGGGGGUGCAUUUGAAACUGGAGUGCUUGAGUGCAGGGAGGAAAGUGGAAUUCCUAGUGUAGCGGUGAAAUGCGUAGAUAUUAGGAGGAUCACCAGUGGCGAAGGCGACUUUCUGGACUGUAACUGACGCUGAGGCACGAAAGCGUGGGGAGCAAACAGGAUUAGAUACCCGCGUAGUC